UCUGCGAUGCCCCCCGACGCCCACGAGAAAAGAGCGCCAUUGUUGCUGUGGGGGGCCGAGUGACAUCAACCUUUCUCCUACCCCCCUCCUCGGCUAAAACUGGGGUGACCUCAAUCUAAGUUUGUCUGCUGGUGCCCUUCAGGAAUUCAAACCUUCACCAGUGGCUGCAAGUUCUUAUUGGUCCAUGGGGCAAGCGACAGCCACGAGCAUGGGGCCCCGCCCCCUCAAAAGCCGCACUAUCCUUCUCAGCUGGCUCAUGGAGAACAGCAAAACCCCAUUCAUCCAUGGUGGAGGAGCAUUUUGUUUGAUGUUUAACCAGGAGAGGCCCCAUGCAUACAUAGUUCCUCACAAGUAAACUCUUAGGAGCCCCACUUCUCUUCAUUCAAGUUUGAUCUCGCUUUUUUGUUCCGGAGGGUCCUCAAAAAGCACAAGCCUGAGAAAGGAUGCAGCAUCUCACACACCAAAAAUAUUGCAAGCUAGCUUCGUUGUCGAUAUGAACUUGGGGCGGAGACCACAUAGUUCCUGGAGCUAAAAGUUAUCUCAACACUGCCAACACAAGCCUCUGAAAACACACUGCAAAAGGCAAUUGCAUUGUCACUGCAGGAUAUAUCAACUGAGCAGCUCUAAAGCUUUAUUCAAGUUUCAUUCAUCCAAAGGAUCAUCACGAAAAAAGAAGGUGAACACAAGGCUACAAAUUACAGUCUACCAUCGUCACUCUCACACAGACACACACACACUCUCUCUCUCGGUUAUAGACUUCUAGCGUAAUAAAAAACACAUCUAGAAGACUACUAAAUGAAAGCUUAGCCGAAACACACGAAAACAAAAACAAAAAAUUGCAUAGGAAACACUUCCCACACCUGUACAAAGAGAGGAAGACGAAAGAAAACGUUGUAGGAUUGGGUCGGUCACCGCAACAAAUCCGGCGCGCUCAGCUCCUUCCUGAGCUUGUGGGAGAAGAGGCGGCAGGCGUCCAUGCUCAGGUCGAUGGCGGCCGCGAGCGCCACAAAGGCUGCGGCGUCCUCGGUGCACCCAACUUGCUGCACGCCGACCUCCACCGUGGGCCGGCCGCUACGCCCCUCGCCGGCCACCGUCGAGGACAUCACGAACCCGCGGUAGCUGGGGAAGGGCCAGAGCGCGUAGCCGAAGUCGCCGC